GGCACGGUCGCGGCUCUAGUCCCCUGGGCCCCUCAGCUGUCUCUGGCGGGGAGGUCGGGCCGCAGGGGCGGGGAGGGGUGGCCUGCCCCAGUGGUACCUGACAGCAUCCCACGUCACGGCCGCGAUCCCCCUCGGCCUCCCACACCACUCCUCCACCCUCUUACCUCCUCGCAGGCCGGAGCCUUGUCCGCUCCGCCUCCUGGGUAGCGGUUACUGCACGGUCAGGGGCCCGGCGCCGCGAUGAGUUGGCGCCUCCCCCUGAAACGGCCCGGCCUCGGCGGGAUGCGCUCGGGUGCCCGGCCGAGACGGAAACGAAGGGAGCGCAGACAAGAGGAGGGGGCUGGCGACGGCGUCUCGCCCCUCCUCUCCUCCCUAGGCUGCCCACCGCCGCCCCUCCCC
rnacentral:lncRNA from 1 species